rnacentral:rRNA from 1 species
GAUGAACGCUGGCGGCGUGCUUAACACAUGCAAGUCGAACGAUGAAAGCGGGAGCUUGCUCCUGCUGGAUUAGUGGCGAACGGGUGAGUAACACGUGAGCAAUCUGCCCCGAACUCUGGGAUAAGCGUUGGAAACGACGUCUAAUACCGGAUACGACGCGCGAAGGCAUCUUCUGCGCGUGGAAAGAAUUUCGGUUCGGGAUGAGCUCGCGGCCUAUCAGCUAGUUGGUGAGGUAACGGCUCACCAAGGCGACGACGGGUAGCCGGCCUGGGAGGGUGACCGGCCACACUGGGACUGAGACACGGCCCAGACUCCUACGGGAGGCAGCAGUGGGGAAUAUUGCACAAUGGGCGCAAGCCUGAUGCAGCAACGCCGCGUGAGGGACGACGGCCUUCGGGUUGUAAACCUCUUUUAGUAGGGAAGAAGCGAAAGUGACGGUACCUGCAGAAAAAGCACCGGCUAACUGCGUGCCAGCCGCCGCAGUAACAC